AUUGAACGCUGGCGGCAUGCCUUACACAUGCAAGUCGAACGGUAACGGGCCUUCGGGUGCCGACGAGUGGCGAACGGGUGAGUAAUGCAUCGGAACGUACCUUUCAGUGGGGGAUAACGUAGCGAAAGUUACGCUAAUACCGCAUAUUCUGUGAGCAGGAAAGCAGGGGAUCGCAAGACCUUGCGCUGAUUGAGCGGCCGAUGUCAGAUUAGCUAGUUGGUGAGGUAAAGGCUCACCAAGGCGACGAUCUGUAGCGGGUCUGAGAGGAUGAUCCGCCACACUGGAACUGAGACACGGUCCAGGCUCCUACGGGAGGCAGCAGUGGGGGAAUUUUGGACAAUGGGGGCAACCCUGAUCCAGCCAUGCCGCGUGAGUGAAGAAGGCCUGG
rnacentral:rRNA from 1 species